rfam:Schistosoma mansoni strain Puerto Rico chromosome W, complete genome
AUCCAGCUGACGAGUCCCAAAUAGGACGAAAUACACGUCCUAGAU